UACGAGGGGAGCAAGCGUUGUUCGGAUUUACUGGGCGUAAAGGGCGCGUAGGCGGUCGUGACAAGUCACUUGUGAAAUCUCCGGGCUUAACUCGGAACGGUCAAGUGAUACUGUCGGACUAGAGUACAGAAGGGGCAACUGGAAUUCUCGGUGUAGCGGUGAAAUGCGUAGAUAUCGAGAGGAACACCUGCGGCGAAGGCGGGUUGCUGGGCUGACACUGACGCUGAUGCGCGAAAGCCAGGGAGCGAACGGG
rnacentral:rRNA from 1 species